GACGAACGCUGGCGGCGUGCUUAACACAUGCAAGUCGUACGGUAAGGCCCUUUCGGGGGUACACGAGUGGCGAACGGGUGAGUAACACGUGAGUAACCUGCCCACAACUUUGGGAUAACGCUAGGAAACUGGUGCUAAUACUGGAUAUGUGCUCCUGCUGCAUGGUGGGGGUUGGAAAGCUCCGGCGGUUGUGGAUGGACUCGCGGCCUAUCAGCUUGUUGGUGGGGUAGUGGCCUACCAAGGCGGCGACGGGUAGCCGGCCUGAGAGGGUGACCGGCCACAUUGGGACUUAGAUACGGCCCAGACUCCUACGGGAGGCAGCAGUGGGGAAUAUUGCACAAUGGGCGCAAGCCUGAUGCAGCAACGCCGCGUGCGGGAUGACGGCCUUCGGGUUGUAAACCGCUUUCAGCAGGGACGAAGCUUUUUGUGGCGGUACCUGCAGAAGAAGCACCGGCUAACUACGUG
rnacentral:rRNA from 1 species